CUGGUUUAGUGAGCUUAUGUGAUCUAUUGGGAAACUGUUCUGUGUGCACUUCAAAAUAAUGUGUAAUCUGCUGCUUUAGGAUGAAAUGUUCUGAAUAUAUCUCUUAAGUCCAUCUGAUCU